AUUGCCUCAGUAACGGCGAGUGAAGCGGCAACAGCUCAAAUUUGAAAUCUGGCCCCCGCGGGGUCCGAGUUGUAAUUUGCAGAAGAUGCUUCGGGCGUGGUGCCGGCCUAAGUUCCUUGGAACAGGACGUCGCAGAGGGUGAGAAUCCCGUACGUGGCCGCGCGCCUACGCCCGUGUGAAGCUCUUUCGACGAGUCGAGUUGUUUGGGAAUGCAGCUCUAAAUGGGUGGUAAAUUUCAUCUAAAGCUAAAUACUGGCCAGAGACCGAUAGCGCACAAGUAGAGUGAUCGAAAGAUGAAAAGCACUUUGGAAAGAGAGUCAAAUAGUACGUGAAAUUGUUGAAAGGGAAGCGCUUGCAACUAGACUCGCGCGCGACCGAUCAUCCGGGGCUCUGCUCCGGUGCACUCGGUCGCGCUCGGGCCAGCAUCAGCUCUGGCGGUCGGACAAAGACCGCGGGAAUGUAGCUCCCCCCGGGGAGUGUUAUAGCCCGCGGUGCCAUGCGACCUGCCGGGGCUGAGGACCGCGCUUCGGCUAGGAUGCUGGCGUAAUGGUUGCAAGCGACCCGUCUUGAAACACGGACCAAGGAGUCUAAUAUCUAUGCGAGUAUUUGGGUGUCAAACCCACAUGCGCAAUGAAAGUAAACGGAGGUGAGACCCCGCGAGGGCGCAUCAUCGACCGAUCCUGAAGUUUACGGACGGAUUUGAGUAAGAGCAUAGCUAUUGGGACCCGAAAGAGAGUGAACUUUACGUGAAUAGGGUGAAGUCAGAGGAAACUCUGAUGGAGGCUCGCAGCGGUUCUGACGUGCAAAUCGAUCGUCAAAUUUGCGUAAAGGGGCGAAAGACUAAUCGAACUUUCUAGUAGCUGGUUCCUGC
rnacentral:rRNA from 1 species